UACGAAGGGUGCAAGCGUUACUCGGAAUUACUGGGCGUAAAGCGUGCGUAGGUGGUGAGUUAAGUCUGUCGUGAAAGCCCCGGGCUCAACCUGGGAAUGGCGAUGGAUACUGGCUCGCUAGAGUGCGGUAGAGGAGAGUGGAAUUCCAGGUGUAGCGGUGAAAUGCGUAGAUAUCUGGAGGAACACCGGUGGCGAAGGCGGCAUCCUGGACCGGCAUUGACGCUGAGGAGCGAAAGCCAGGGGAGCAAACGGG
rnacentral:rRNA from 1 species